CCUACGGGGGGCAGCAGUGGGGAAUAUUGGGCAAUGGGCGAAAGCCUGACCCAGCGACGCCGCGUGAGGGAAGAAGGUCUUCGGAUUGUAAACCUCUUUCAGCAGGGAAGAAGAAAGUGACGGUACCUGCAGAAGAAGUCACGGCUAACUACGUGCCAGCAGCCGCGGUAAUACGUAGGUGGCGAGCGUUAUCCGGAAUUACUGGGUGUAAAGGGUGUGUAGGCGGGAGUGCAAGUCAGACGUGAAAACUAUGGGCUCAACCCAUAACGUGCGUUUGAAACUGUGCUUCUUGAGAGUGGGAGAGGUAAACGGAAUUCCUGGUGUAGUAGUGAAAUGCGUAGAUAUCAGGAGGAACACCGGUGGCGAAGGCGGUUUACUGGACCACAACUGACGCUGAGAC
rnacentral:rRNA from 1 species